CCCUUCGGCCACCUCUCCCUAAUUAUUUGUCAGCAGAAAGCUCAAAAUGUAUUUUUUCUUCAUUUAUUUAUUUUUUUUUAAUUUAUUUUUCCCAGAAGGCUGUGUUGUGUCCCGUGGUGGCCUGUUCAUAUGCUGAGUUGGAGCUCUGUUUGGCACCGUCCUUUGGUCUAAUCACAUUUUGCUGCAAUACCAGGUUUGUAGUGGCAAAUCUUCCUACCGAGGACCAUGUCUCUGCUCCACUGUCGUUGCUGUGUCCUGCGUGUCUGUGCUGGGGCAUGCCGCCUGCUUUUUGGGUGAAUUGUACUUUGUUUUGGGAGGUUUUGCGGAGCGGUGCCUUCGCAGGCUCGCCUCCCUCUGUAUCCUCUGUGCUGGAUGAGUUUGCAUUGUGUGGUGUUUUCCUCUUCAUUUAUUGCAAACAAAUCUGGUCUCUGCCAUUUGUUUACUCUUAUACUCUGUCUUUAUGCCUUGGUAUGCAUUUUUAAUUAGAUGCGCUUCAGUUCUUUCGCUGCUUGUUAACACUUUCGGAUGGGAAGUAUGGUCCCCACCAGCCCUGCAAGCAUUCUCUCUGCUUAGGAAAUGCAGAUUUGUUUCUCCUACCCCGAUAAUUGUCUGGUACAGAGACUUGGUCCCCAGCCCACCUACCUGCUGGGUACAGGCAUUCCUGUGGCGGACCCUUAAGGCCAUUCCCCUACACAGCCAGGGCAAUCUGAGUGCACUUUACUCUGAAAUACUCUGCAUACAGAGAACUAGUGUUUUGGCUAUUUGUCUGGGCUGCUUCCGGGCCUCAGCAGCUCCAGCUCGGAUGCCUGACAUGGAGAAGUCCUGGACAAAGGCUGCAGUGUGCACAGAUCAACUGCGUGCGUUGUCCAAAGCCCCUCUGCAGACAGAGAUCAGGAAUGUGCUGGGCUUGUGAAGGCAUUGGCCACCCAUCCGGUGAAUGGUGGAUGGAUGAGCCUGGAGAGGGAUCCUGAAGCCCUAAGCACAUGACAGCUUUCAUAAAAAGACAUCUUUCCUGAGUGCCACUAUUGUUACAGCAUCAAAUUACUCUGUUAUAUUUUUUCUUUUUCUUCUUUUUUUCCUUUUUUUUUUUUUUUUUAAUAGUGUGAGCCCAUUAGCACUUGUGCUGUUUUCUUCUGCCUCCAUAUCUGACUCACGCCACAGGCAAAAGACUUCAUCCUUGCUAGCUUCUCUCUAUACCACCAGCUUUCUGGAGAUGGUGUGGGCACUUGGAUGGUAAAACUUGACCCCACUCCACCCUUUCCUUCCAGUUUGCCUGCCCCACUGAAGCACUCACUCACUCUCCUGUUUUGUUAGAGUGUGUGAGUUCUCCAGGAUUUAAGCCCUGCGAGGGACUGAAGGACUGAAAAGAGGCAAAAAUGUCUCUUCCCUUCUCAGACAGUCUUCCCUGACCCCGUUCUUUGGCUGGGGGCAAGGUUGCCAAAGGUCAAUAUCCACUUCAGUGUGUGGAGAGAUCGAUAUCUGCUGAAGCCGGUGCCUAGGCUUGCUUCCUCUCCCUCGCCAGCACUAUAUUUCACAGAGAGGAGCCAAGAAAUGUUUCUCCUCCCUUCCAAGAAAAAGGGGAAGAAAAAGAAAGGAAAAAAAAAAAAAAAAGAAAAAAGAAAGAAGAAGAAGAAGAAAAAAAGCCUUGUCUCCACACUUACUCCCACCAGGAGGGUAUUGUGUUUGGCUUCUGCUCUGCUUUUUGUUAUCCAUUUGCAUGGCAUGAUGUUUGCUUUGGCUGGCGGGGCAGUGGCCGGCUCCUUGGCCAGAGGAAGGGUCCUGCUGUUACCCAGUGGUGCACGGAGCAGGGAUGCUCAGCCCCUGGUCCUGGGUGGUUUUGGGGUGCUGGGAUGUGGAGGGUGUCCCAGAUGGCAGGGUUUCAGGGUGGCAGCACGCUGGUGGUGGGAGCAAAGAGCUCAGUGCCGAGCCUGCAAAAAAGAAGUCAUUCUAUGGAGCAGCAUCGUGUUGGCAGGGAGAUGAAGUGCACGGGCUAAUAGGUCUUUUCCACUUUAAUUUCUAUUCGAAAAUGACUCUUUGUUGCUGUUCUCAGACUCAGCGCCAACCGUUCCUUACGCCACACACCAGAUCUUUCUUUCUUUUCUGCCCUUCGCUUCACGGAGAAGGCUUUAAAGCAAACAAACACAAAACUGUGAGAAACCGAGGGAAGAUAUGGACUGGCCCACUCGUUACUGCUGGAAUGUGGAAACUAUGAAGACAUCUUUUUUUAUUACCAAUGCUGGAAAGCACAGUCACUGAGUGGGCUGGAAUACAAUUUAUACUACAUGCAGUAGUUAAAAAAAACUGCAGAAAUGGGUGUAACCCUGGGCUGUGGUACAACUGGCCUUUCAGCCCCCACUUGAGAUUCCUCCAUCCCAGGGGGCAACUGUGGUUUGGAAGAAGAGCGUGCAUUUAAUUUCACUCAGAGAACUUAUUGGAGUUGGCACUUCAAGAAAGACUCUGAAGUAUAUUUUUUGUCAUGAUUAGUGGCCCCCUCACCACUACGUUUGAUUGUGUUGGAAGCGGAAAAGUUAAAUUCUUAUAAAAUGAUGAUUUACAAUCCUUGAUUAUCCAGGUAGGGUGCGCGGAUUGCGCCAGCUUGGUCAUGGGACUCCAGUCUCAUCCGAGCUCAUUGCUGUGAGAAAAUAAAACUAAAAUGUAAAAAAGCUGAAAACACAUCCUCUGAUUGCUCAGGGAAUUUUCUUAGUCAUACGUUAUCUUUCCUAGUAGUUUAAGUUAUUUUGUCUCCACUAAAACCCAAAGCAAAACAGUGCCCUGACACUUUCCCCUUGAUUUCUGAUCUGCAGCAGCCAAAUUUAUUUUUAUCUCGUGUCGUCUUUUCCCCUAUGGUUAUGCAAAUCCUCAGAAUAGGGGGCAAGGGGAAGAGCUAAUUUUAAAGUCAGUAAAUUCCAGUGGAAGAUUUCUUCAGUCGCUCCGAGCGGGACUAUCCUGGGUGCUGUUGCAGAGCUGUGGCUACCUCCAAAUAACACAGGGGUAUUGAAGAUGAUAUACUGCCAUAAUCUUAGAUUAUGAUGAAGCUGCACUUUCACUUCUGCCAGUAUCACUUGCUGCACUCAUUCAGCUGCAGAGAGACUCUGCUGGAAGGAAAGACCAUGUCCAGGGUCCCUCAUCCCUGUGCCAGGAUGCACAGGAGGGCUUCCAGAUUCCUUUUUAUUUGUGAGUUGUUCAAAUCCAGACUCUUCCAAAUCAAGCUCCUGACACCAUUUAUAUCCGUAUGAGAAGAGUGGAUGUGCCAAAACAAUAAAAAGACGUUUUGUGUAUGCUCCCUUGUCAUCAUGGAAAUCUGGACCGAUUUCAACACAUACUUAUUUCAAAACAUACAAAUAUGGCAAUCAGAUACUGAUGUUCAGAGCAUUUUCCUCCCUGUUUACCCAAAUUUUGUUGAAAAGCCCUUGAGAUAAGAAGGAGUGCUGCAGCCACAGGUGAAAUCUCUUUUCUUUAGCCACCUGUAGAUUACUAUGAUAUAUUCUUGUUUGAAACAGCAGCUGCCCAAAAGGAGGUGCUUGUGUGAAUGUUGCCUUGAGGGGGGAGACAGUGCAAGGGAGGAUGAAAACUUCUCUGACGUUUUUCAGAAUACAGUUAUGCCCUGAGAAUCGCUACUUUACUCCUGUUCCGCAACACAUAAAUACACGUCAGAUGUGUGGUAAACCAAAUUCUCUCAGGAGCUUGUCCUGAAAGAGGAAAAGACAUGAUGAUUUAAAGGCUACAUCUGCAGCUCUUGCAGCUGCUUCGGUUCCUGCUGCUGGAGGAAAAUUCCCUGCAUCAACAGCCUCUCGACACAGGGUCUUGGAGCAGCUCCUGAGGCAAAAGCCCAAGGGAACCAAGCACUGUCACUAGCCUGUUGGACAGGCAAGGAGUGGGAAGUCAUCAUGCAGCUCACAGGAACAUGGUCGCUUCUGCUGUCAGAUGCCCCUUCUGACAUCACCUUUCCUGCUGUGUUGUAAGUGGAAGAGGACUCCAACCCAUGCAACACUAGUUGCAUUCUCCAAAAUCUAUGGAAAGUAAGAUUAGACAGGCAAAUUCCUAAACAAAGUGAAGGUCAUCAUGGUGUGGUACUGGUUUGGCAUACCCUUGUAUUAAAACUCACAGGAGGAGCUGUUGAAGGCUGUGAAGCCUGCUGGAAUGUCUUCAGUUGUAGGAAACACGUGCGACAUUUCUGUAAGAAGGCAGCUGAAGAUGUGAGGAUGUUCUGGAACGAAGGCUUGCACAACCUCUGUGUUUUGACGUUAUUCUGCUCGGUGAUAGACUGGGAACGUAGCAGCUCCAGCUACCGCAGCAGUGCGGUGUGAUUCCUUCCAGCCUACGUGUAAAAACCACCUUCGUAUUGAACAUCCCUCCUCCUUAACAAGCUAGUAACACAUCUAUGAUUUCAGUAAUUAAAAUAAUUUUUUGUUGCUAUUUGCUUAUGUUAACACCCCAGAGCAAGCAGAGAGACAAGUCAGGUAGGCCAGCAGUUACCUGGACUCUGGGAACAGAGGUUAGGUGCCCUGAUUCCUCUGCAGUGAGAAAAAGAGGCAGGACCAGACCCUAAAUGUAUUAAAUGCCUUAGUCCUAAGGAAUUUGAUGGAAAUAGGUGCCUAAAUACUGUGGAGCUCUGUUUUAAUCUCUAUAUACCUUAGUUCUUCAUCUGUCAUAUGAGGAUAAUAAUUAUACAGCGAAGUAUAACAACAAAUGCAAUAAGGAAAACAAAGUGCUCAGAUACUAUAAUCUCUAAAUGUAAAAAAAAAAUAUUAAGAUCUAAGGAACACAAUAUGUUUAUUUCUUUUUUUAUGAAUCUUUUUUACGUAGUGCUAUCCAAUUUUAGAGAGAAGUGUUUACCUGCUUGUUGAUUAAUUUACAGUUGUGUUCCCCAGCUGCAAUCAGAGCAGUUUCUCAUUCAGAGGCUUAUUAAAAGCAAGCAUCAAAGAGAAGGUAAGGAUACAACUCAACUUUUAGAAAGGAGAAGAAAAGUAUUUAUUUCUCAAUGCAAAACUGAGGCUUUUUUACUUCUAAGCUAACUUUCAGCAUCUCAGCUUUCUAUGUGAAGCCUUGCUUCCAGUAUAAAUAAAUGAUCCCACAUUCCGUCAUGAUAACAUAUGCUCAUGCAGAGCUCAAAAUUAGAAGGAAUAUGAAGUGUUCUAUUAAUUGCAUGAAUGUUGAUUGUUAAAAUCAUGUGCUAAUUGGUAAUAUCUGUGUGCAGUAGGUUCCUGCAAUAUGUGUUAGAUUACAUUAACUGUGCUUGUGACUCAGAUAUCAGGCAUUAUGCAUUUUAUAGAAGGAUUAAAAAAAAAAAAAAACACACACACAAAAAAAAAAAAAAAAAAAAACUUUGAGUAAUUAGGUUCUAUAGGCUAUUGGUGUAGAAGAAUUAGUGGAAGAUUGUGUAAAGGGUAUAUGAAGUUAGAGGCAUGAAGAAUACUGAACUCAAAAGAUGCAUCUGCUCCUCUUUCCCAUGGUGUGCUUUCCCUCAAACACUCUCCAAAGUAAUUCUCACCAUGUUUGCCUUCAAGUAAUUCCCAGGGAAUGAAUGAGCUUUCUCAGUUUUCAGGUUUCUCCUUUGCAUUCCCUAGGCUUUGAACCAAGAAAUAUUCAGGUCUUCCACCAAGGGCUGGGAAAUGCAUAAAUCUCUUCCCUGUAGGAGGAAGUAUUUCUCGUAUUGGCACAGAUGUGGCACUUCCCGCUUUCCCUUAUCUUAAGUAGAGGCUAAUGCACUGUAGUUCUUUCUUGGUGCAGUGGUAUCUCCCAUAUGCAUCUGUAGAAAAUCGUUGGAAAGUGUUCUACAAAGACCAAGAGAAAUGCCAAAGGCAAGUGCAGAGAGUGAACGUGACUACGUGGGAAGAAGAGUGAAGAUUCAUGCCCAGAAAACUUCAUUCUUACCUCACACCAGUUUUACUUCGUGUUACUUUGAUGAACAUGCUAGGAUGAGAUCGGCUAGCUGUACAGUGAGAUGAGCAUCCCCUCCAUAACACUCAACACACUCAAAACCAGCAGCUGUAGAUCUGCUGAUACACUCCCAGCAGUGCUGACAAAAAGUUAAUGAUGCAGGACUAGGCUUCCUUUGCUGUUGCUUAGGCUAUUUUAAUUGAUAUUUGAGAUGAACGUUACUCAGAACUGAAUAAAUGGACGCACAUAUUACCACCAUCAAGUGUUUCACGCUCAGCUCACCUUCAGUCUCUUACUGUCUAAUGGAAACAUAAAAUACCUCAUUGCUGUGUUCAUUUUAACUAGUUAGUAAUAUUCAGUGGCUGCAUCGAAAACUGUUUAUAGUAAAGAGUUUCAAUACUUU